rnacentral:lncRNA from 1 species
AGGAAAAUUCUGAACACGUAAACUUAACACAUAAUUCAUAUUUGUACUUUGGUUAUUCGAGCCAAAUUCAUGAUUCCUAUAUUUUUAGUAAGGUAAACUAAUGGUGUAGUAUAGAACUUUCCUCGUUCUAUUCAAAGAAGAGUAGUAUAUAUAAUAGGAGAUAGCCAAGUUGGAGAUCAAAUGCACACGUGUGUGUGUGUGUGUGUGUGUCUAUACUACACUAGAAAUUAAACUGGGUACGAUCAAAAGGCCACUGACAUCUUUAGUUAAUCAGAAACUUCGGCUGAUGCGUGUUAUGAACCAAGUGCUACGACAAGGAAUAAAGCAUAUAAUAAUUACAGGAGUCGCUCAAAACUCAACCACCCACCUAUCAUGUAAUGCGCUAACAUCAACACUAUGAAUUGCUAAACAAAGAUUGAAAUAAUACAGGACCUGGUCAAACUUUGCAUUUCUUCCCCCAGCUGAUUCAGAUAUAUAUAUAUAUAUAUAUAUCUAUAUAUACACUGAAUGCGAUGGGAUAUAAACAUACCCACAUUCAGACUGCAACAAACCAGCUACUCCUCCUUUAGCGUAAUUCCAUAUCACAUCAUCAAGGGCUCUCAGCUGGAGCUGCCUCACAAAUUGAUGCUUGGGCCAGAACAUCUUUCCCUGCCUGCUGUUCACAUUAACUUACUCUCAAGUAACAGAGCCCAAAAAUUAAAGAUUGUUUCCACUUUCUGCACAAAGAGAAAUGGAAAUAACACGUCCUGGACACAUUAAUGCAGUGAAACAGCAAACAGAAAUAGCUUCAGUGUCCUCUUAUGAGCAUGAGUUCCAUAACUGCCAACAGAAAACUGUAGAUAACCUUCUUCACAAACAUUCCUUCUGAAACAACUUCAAUUAGCCAUGUCGGAUUUGCUUUCCUCCUCAGUUUAAUCUGACUAUUUGANN